rnacentral:lncRNA from 1 species
UGGGGUCCCAAAUGGCCUACCUCUUUGCCACUCUUUUGGCAAUCUCAGUCUCUCUUAGCUACUUGCCUUUAGAAGCCUCCGCAGACCAUUACUACUACACAUCUCCUCCCCCGCCAAAGAAAUAUCCACCACCAGUAGCAUCUCCCCCUUACCAUUACACGUCUCCCCCACCACCGAAGCCAGUUUAUCAUUCCCCACCACAGACGCCGGUUUAUCAUUCCCCACCACCGACGCCGGUUUAUCAUUCCCCACCACCGCCCAAGAAACCAUACGAAUACAAGUCUCCUCCGCCACCAACUCCAGUUUACCAUUCCCCACCACCGAAGCCAGUUUAUCAUUCCCCACCACAGACGCCGGUUUAUCAUUCACCGCCACCGGUUCCGGUUUACCAUUCCCCACCACCACCCAAGAAACCUUACAAAUACAAGUCUCCUCCGCCACCAACUCCAGUUUACCAUUCCCCACCACCGACGCCGGUUUAUCAUUCCCCACCACCGCCCAAGAAACCAUACGAAUACAAGUCUCCUCCGCCACCAACUCCAGUUUACCAUUCCCCACCACCACCAAAGAAACCAUACAAAUAUAAGUCUCCUCCACCACCAACUCCAGUUUACCAUUCCCCACCACCAACGCCGGUUUAUCAUUCCCCACCACCUCCCAAGAAACCAUACAAGUACAAGUCUCCUCCACCACCAACUCCAGUUUACCAUUCCGCACCACCACCAAAGAAGCCAUACAAAUAUAAGUCUCCUCCGCCACCAACUCCAGUUUACCAUUCCCCACCACCGACGCCGGUUUAUCAUUCCCCACCACCUCCUAAGAAACCAUACAAGUACAAGUCUCCUCCGCCACCGACUCCAGUUUACCAUUCCCCACCACCUCCAGUUUACCAUUCCCCACCACCACAUCACCCUUACGUCUAUGCAUCUCCCCCUCCUCCUUACCACUACUAGAAAGUGGACAUGAAUAGCUCAUGCUUUUAUGGUAAAACUCAUUUAUUUUUAAGACUGUUCAUGUAAAGCCUAGUAGAUCAGAAUUACGCUAAGCACUUCAAUUUUAAGCACGGUGUUCUGUUUAGUUGCGUCCAUAGUGAUUAAGUGACAAAUAAAAGUGACUGAUUAAUUUGUUCUUGCAGGAGAGGCUAAUGGUAUCCGAAUAAAGAAAGGGUUCGAUGAAAAGCUUUACUGCGAGCAGGAUAGCGAUCGAUCGAGUUGCCGCGUUUGAUUCUCUUUUAUCUUUGUUUUCGACGAGGAAUAAACAGCUACAUGUAGAAACAGAAAAGUUCUUAUCAUUCUCAUGUAUCGUGGAUUUUAGGUGCGUGUGUGUGUGUCAAUCGAAUCUUAGGUGCAUGUGUCUUUUGUAAUUUUCAACCUCUAUGCAUGCAAAAUGCAAGAGCUUUUUCGUAUAAUAAAAUUAAUAUACUUCCCAAGAUGGUCCGUAUAUAUGUUGUGGUUGAUUUUUAUGUCUCUUUGGCGAUGAUUGUGACGUUUAAAAUUGAUGACUGUUGUUUUAGUAAAGCCUGCAUGGACUUUUCUUUUUC